rnacentral:rRNA from 1 species
AACGAACGCUGACGGCGUGGAUAAGACAUGCAAGUCGAACGGAGGAUGUGUAGCUUGCUAUAACAUCCUUAGUGGCGCGCGGGUGAGUAACGCGUGAGCAACCUGCCCAUAAGUUGGGGAUAGCCCUGGGAAACCGGGAUUAAUACCGAAUGUGGUAGCAAUACUAAAGCAGUAAUGCGCUCAUGGAGGGGCUCGCGUCCUAUUAGUUAGUUGGUGAGGUAACGGCUCACCAAGGCGAUGACGGGUAGCCGGCCUGAGAGGUUGAACGGCCACAUUGGGACUGAGACACGGCACAGACUCCUACAGGAGGCAGCAGUGGGGGAUAUUGCACAAUGGGGGAAACCCUGAUGCAGCGACGCCGCGUGGGUGAAGACGGCCUUCGGGUUGUAAAGCCCUGUUGACGGGGACGAUAAUGACGGUACCCGUUCAGAAAGCCACGGCUAACUACGUGCCAGCCGCCGCAGUAAGAC